AGCAGCCGCGGUAAUUUCAGCUCCAAUAGCGUAUAUUAAAGUUGUUGCAGUUAAAAAGCUCGUAGUUGAAUUUCGGGAUCAUCAGGCUGGUCGUGCCUUCGGUAUGUACUUGCUUCGAUGGUCUCUCCUUCCUGAAGAACCGUGAUGGCAUUAAUUUGUUGUUACGGGGAAACAGGACUGUUACUUUGAAAAAAUUAGAGUGUUUAAAGCAGGCAAUCGCUUGAAUACAUUAGCAUGGAAUAAUGAAAUAGGACGUUCGAACCUAUUUUGUUGGUUUCUAGGAUUGACGUAAUGAUUAAUAGGGAUAGUUGGGGGCAUUAGUAUUCAAUCGUCAGAGGUGAAAUUCUUGGAUUUAUUGAAGACUAACUACUGCGAAAGCAUUUGCCAAGGAUGUUUUCAUUAAUCAAGAACGAAAGUUAGGGGAUCGAAGACGAUCAGAUACCGUCGUAGUCUUAACCGAUAAACUA
rnacentral:rRNA from 1 species